CCUCUGUUUCCCAAAGUUUGAGACACUUUCAGACACUCUGCUUUGCGGUUGUGGCCGAUGUUACCCAUGGGUGGGACUUUUGCUUUGCUCUAGAUUUUUGUAACACCCUGGGGAGUUUCAGGGGCCAAUGCUGAGAGAAGACCACAGGCUGACACAUCAUGAGACCCUCUGGGCAGGUCCACUAAGAGCAUGUAUUCUAGAACAUGCAGGGCUUGAAGCUUCACAAGAUAUUCAGUGCACUCCUUACAGAUCCUGUCAAAUGUGGACCGGGUGGUGUCAUCGCACCACCAUCAUCCCCUUGUUACCCCUGAGAACACAGCUUCAGAGAGGGGCGGCGCUGGCUUUCAGGCCGUUCAGCAGGGAUGAGUAGAAGGCAUGGAUGAACAUCUUAGAAGCAGCCACUGGCACAGGCCACAGAGACACGAGGACACACUGAGCGCCGGCAGCCAGGAAGGCCCUUGUCAGCGCGAUGACCCCGUCGGCUGUGACUUUGCUGUUGGACUCCUGGG
rnacentral:lncRNA from 1 species